CCUGAACUUCAAACGGACAGUUUUGGUUCUUUAAAAAGUCGAGCGAAUCCACCAAAAUGCAACAGUCACCUGUACGCAGUGCUAUCGGAAGUGUUCUCUGCUAAACAAUUCGCAAAAGCUGAAAACCCAAAAAUCAUUCAAAAUGAAAUUCUUGAUCAUGACUAUCUGCCUGAUCGUUCUGGCUUUUGCCCUGGUGUCUGCUGCUACCAACGAUGAAACCAUCCUGGGAGAUCAUGGCGCGGACGAGGUCGUGAACGCACAGAAUCCAUCGGAAAUCCACUAUCUCAGGAUGAAGUGGCUGCUGAAGAAACUACUGCACUUGGGAUAGAAAUCGCCAUUUAUCCUAGUUCCCGUUUCCCAAAGGUGUACAAUUAAGUGCAGACUAUGUCUGACUCACAUAGAUUAAUUGGAAAUUAGUUUAAGUUAUAAGAAUAUGCUGGUGUGAAAAGAAACAAGCUUUCAAAUACAAGUUCAAUUAAAACUUUA